UACAGAGGGGGGCCAGCGUUUAUUCGGAAUUAUUGGGCGUAAAGGGCGCGUAGGCGGCCAUGCGUGUCUUCCGUGAAAGCCCUGGGCUUAACCUGGGAAUUGCAGUCGAUACUACUCGGCUCGAGUAUGGGAGAGGGAUGUGGAAUUCCAGGUGUAGCGGUGAAAUGCGUAGAUAUCAGGAGGAACACCGGUGGCGAAGGCGGGUCUCUGGGCCGAUACUGACGCUGAGGAGCGAAAGCGUGGGGAGCAAACAGG
rnacentral:rRNA from 1 species